rnacentral:rRNA from 1 species
CAAUAGCGUAUAUUUAAGUUGCUGCAGUUAAAAAGCUCGUAGUUGGAUUUCGGGUGGGAAUGGCCGGUCCGCCGUUUCGGUGUGCACUUGCUACGCCCACCUUGCUGCCGGGGACGUGCUCUUGAGUUCACGCUCGGGACACGGAGUCGGCGAGGUUACUUUGAGUAAAUUAGAGUGUUCAAAGCAGGCCUACGCUCUGAAUACAUUAGCAUGGAAUAACACGAUAGGACUCUGGCCUAUCUUGUUAGUCUGUAGGACCGGAGUAAUGAUUAAGAGGGACAGUCGGGGGCAUUCGUAUUUCAUUGUCAGAGGUGAAAUUCUUGGAUUUAUGAAAGACGAACUACUGCGAAAGCAUUUGCCAAGGAUGUUUUCAUUAA